GCGGAAGAUCAAGUCAGCGGUAAAAUUGAGAGGCUCAACCUCUUCGAGCCGUUGAAACUGGUUUUCUUGAGUGAGCGAGAAGUAUGCGGAAUGCGUGGUGUAGCGGUGAAAUGCAUAGAUAUCACGCAGAACUCCGAUUGCGAAGGCAGCAUACCGGCGCUCAACUGACGCUCAUGCACGAAAGUGUGGGUAUCGAACAGGAUUAGAUACCCUGGUAGUCCACACAGUAAACGAUGAAUACUAAUUGUUCGGGGAGAAUGAUCCCUGAGUGAUACAGCGAAAGCGUUAAGUAUUCCACCUGGGGAGUACGCCGGCAACGGUGAAACUCAAAGGAAUUGACGGGGGCCCGCACAAGCGGAGGAACAUGUGGUUUAAUUCGAUGAUACACGAGGAACCUUACCCGGGCUCAAACGACACAGGAAUACUUUUGAAAGGAGGUAGCUCUACGGAGUCUGUGUCGAGGUGCUGCAUGGUUGUCGUCAGCUCGUGCCGUGAGGUGUCGGCUUAAGUGCCAUAACGAGCGCAACCCCCAUCGCCAGUUACCAGCAAGUCAAGUUGGGGACUCUGGCGAGACUGCCGGCGCAAGCUGUGAGGAAGGCGGGGAUGACGUCAAAUCAGCACGGCCCUUACGUCCGGGGCGACACACGUGUUACAAUGGCAGGUACAGAGAGAAGCAAUGCGGCGACGCAAAGCGGAACUUGAAAGCCUGUCUCAGUUCGGAUUGGAGUCUGCAACUCGACUCCAUGAAGCUGGAUUCGCUAGUAAUCGCGCAUCAGCCAUGGCGCGGUGAAUACGUUCCCGGGCCUUGUACACACCGCCCGUCAAGCCAUGGAAGCCGGGAGUGCCUGAAGUGUGCAACCGCAAGGAGCGCCCUAAGGUAAAACUGGUGACUGGGGCUAAGUCGUAACAAGGUAACCGUAA
rnacentral:rRNA from 1 species